rnacentral:misc_RNA from 1 species
AAGACUAUAGACCUGCGGAGUACCUGCGGAAGGAUCAUUACCGAGUGUCGGGCCCCCCCCGGGGGUCCACCCUCCCACCCGUGUUUACCGUCCCUGUUGCUUCGGCGGGCCCCCGCGCUCGCCGGAGACCCUCCACGAACCCUGUGUGAAGGUUGUCGUCUGAGUGGAUUGACCCAAUCGUUAAAACUUUCAACAACGGAUCUCU